rnacentral:rRNA from 1 species
GCAAUUUUCAACAGUCAACACCCUAUAUAUAUUUUUUCAUAUGUUUGGGUUUUGGCCUGUAUGCUUUGUUUGCCUAUAUUCUCUGUUUGGAACCUUCUAUUCUCUUUUUGUCAUGGUCUGAAUUAAUGGAUAAUCUUUUUGUCUCUUUAGCAUGUAGUCCUCAUGUUACAAGGUGUGUGGGCAAACACUGCACUGUAGGCGAUCAAGUCUUUGCAAGAUAGAAUGUGUUCUUUUAUUUUGGGCUUACAAUGGCGAGUAAUCAACAGUGAGGAGCAUGCAAGUAUGGACUUCGUAUGAGAGGCUAAGAUGGGCAUGGCUACAUGGAUCAUGGUAGUUGGUUUUGCUAGAUUUCAUGCUUCUAUCUAUCCAUGCUAUCUCCAGCAAUGCGUACUUUUUUCAUGUAUCUUCCAAUUGGCUAGAGACUUGGAAUAACCAAGGGAACUUUCUCCGUUUUGUGUUUUCACUCUUCUCAGAAUUUAUGCUAGGUGUAUAGACAUGUAUGCCAUCAAACCCAUUAACCAUCGCGCAAGGGGCGGAUGCUGGGCUAUGCCACGUAGCGAUAUUUACUGUCAUAGAUAUUGCUUGUUUACUCGAGAUAACACCUCCCCUUACUGUGCAAUGUUGACAGAUAGAAAGAACAGGGAAAACGCGUGGAUUAGCUAGGGCCCCUUCCAUCUCUCACAG